rnacentral:rRNA from 1 species
AGAGUUUGAUCCUGGCUCAGGACGAACGCUGGCGGCGCGCCUAACACAUGCAAGUCGAACGAGAGAUGAGGAGCUUGCUCUUCAAAUCGAGUGGCGAACGGGUGAGUAACGCGUGAGGAACCUGCCUCAAAGAGGGGGACAACAGUUGGAAACGACUGCUAAUACCGCAUAAGCCCACGGCUCGGCAUCGAGCAGAGGGAAAAGGAGUGAUCCGCUUUGAGAUGGCCUCGCGUCCGAUUAGCUAGUUGGUGAGGUAACGGCCCACCAAGGCGACGAUCGGUAGCCGGACUGAGAGGUUGAACGGCCACAUUGGGACUGAGACACGGCCCAGACUCCUACGGGAGGCAGCAGUGGGGAAUAUUGCACAAUGGGGGAAACCCUGAUGCAGCGACGCCGCGUGGAGGAAGAAGGUCUUCGGAUUGUAAACUCCUGUUGUUGAGGAAGAUAAUGACGGUACUCAACAAGGAAGUGACGGCUAACUACGUGCCAGCAGCCGCGGUAAAACGUAGGUCACAAGCGUUGUCCGGAAUUACUGGGUGUAAAGGGAGCGCAGGCGGGAGAACAAGUUGGAAGUGAAAUCCAUGGGCUCAACCCAUGAACUGCUUUCAAAACUGUUUUUCUUGAGUAGUGCAGAGGUAGGCGGAAUUCCCGGUGUAGCGGUGGAAUGCGUAGAUAUCGGGAGGAACACCAGUGGCGAAGGCGGCCUACUGGGCACCAACUGACGCUGAGGCUCGAAAGUGUGGGUAGCAAACAGGAUUAGAUACCCUGGUAGUCCACACCGUAAACGAUGAUUACUAGGUGUUGGAGGAUUGACCCCUUCAGUGCCGCAGUUAACACAAUAAGUAAUCCACCUGGGGAGUACGACCGCAAGGUUG